GGGUUGUGAGGUUAAGCGACUAAGCGUACACGGUGGAUGCCCUGGCAGUCAGAGGCGAUGAAGGGCGUGCUAAUCUGCGAUAAGCGCCGGUAAGGUGAUAUGAACCGUUAUAACCGGCGAUACCCGAAUGGGGAAACCCAGUGUGAUUCGUCACACUAUCAUUAACUGAAUCCAUAGGUUAAUGAGGCGAACCGGGGGAACUGAAACAUCUAAGUACCCCGAGGAAAAGAAAUCAACCGAGAUUCCCCCAGUAGCGGCGAGCGAACGGGGAGGAGCCCAGAGCCUGAAUCAGCAUGUGUGUUAGUGGAAGCGUCUGGAAAGGCGCGCGAUACAGGGUGACAGCCCCGUACACAAAAGCGCAUGUGCUGUGAGCUCGAUGAGUAGGGCGGGACACGUGGUAUCCUGUCUGAAUAUGGGGGGACCAUCCUCCAAGGCUAAAUACUCCUGACUGACCGAUAGUGAACCAGUACCGUGAGGGAAAGGCGAAAAGAACCCCGGCGAGGGGAGUGAAAAAGAACCUGAAACCGUGUACGUACAAGCAGUGGGAGCNNNNNNNNNNNNNNNNNNNNNNNNNNNNNNNNNNNNNNNNNNNNNNNNNNNNNNGGGCGUUAAGUUGCAGGGUAUAGACCCGAAACCCGGUGAUCUAGCCAUGGGCAGGUUGAAGGUUGGGUAACACUAACUGGAGGACCGAACCGACUAAUGUUGAAAAAUUAGCGGAUGACCUGUGGCUGGGGGUGAAAGGCCAAUCAAACCGGGAGAUAGCUGGUUCUCCCCGAAAGCUAUUUAGGUAGCGCCUCGUGAAUUCAUCUCCGGGGGUAGAGCACUGUUUCGGCUAGGGGGCCAUCCCGGCUUACCAACCCGAUGCAAACUGCGAAUACCGGAGAAUGUUAUCACGGGAGACACACGGCGGGUGCUAACGUCCGUCGUGAAGAGGGAAACAACCCAGACCGCCAGCUAAGGUCCCAAAGUCAUGGUUAAGUGGGAAACGAUGUGGGAAGGCCCAGACAGCCAGGAUGUUGGCUUAGAAGCAGCCAUCAUUUAAAGAAAGCGUAAUAGCUCACUGGUCGAGUCGGCCUGCGCGGAAGAUGUAACGGGGCUAAACCAUGCACCGAAGCUGCGGCAGCGACACUGUGUGUUGUUGGGUAGGGGAGCGUUCUGUAAGCCUGCGAAGGUGGCCUGUGAGGGUUGCUGGAGGUAUCAGAAGUGCGAAUGCUGACAUAAGUAACGAUAAAGCGGGUGAAAAGCCCGCUCGCCGGAAGACCAAGGGUUCCUGUCCAACGUUAAUCGGGGCAGGGUGAGUCGACCCCUAAGGCGAGGCCGAAAGGCGUAGUCGAUGGGAAACGGGUUAAUAUUCCCGUACUUGGUGUUACUGCGAAGGGGGGACGGAGAAGGCUAUGUUGGCCGGGCGACGGUUGUCCCGGUUUAAGCGUGUAGGUGUGUGUUCCAGGUAAAUCCGGUUCACUUUAACACUGAGGCGUGACGACGAGGCACUACGGUGCUGAAGCAACAAAUGCCCUGCUUCCAGGAAAAGCCUCUAAGCAUCAGGUAACAUCAAAUCGUACCCCAAACCGACACAGGUGGUCAGGUAGAGAAUACCAAGGCGCUUGAGAGAACUCGGGUGAAGGAACUAGGCAAAAUGGUGCCGUAACUUCGGGAGAAGGCACGCUGACACGUAGGUGAAGUGAUUUACUCAUGGAGCUGAAGUCAGUCGAAGAUACCAGCUGGCUGCAACUGUUUAUUAAAAACACAGCACUGUGCAAACACGAAAGUGGACGUAUACGGUGUGACGCCUGCCCGGUGCCGGAAGGUUAAUUGAUGGGGUCAGCGCAAGCGAAGCUCCUGAUCGAAGCCCCGGUAAACGGCGGCCGUAACUAUAACGGUCCUAAGGUAGCGAAAUUCCUUGUCGGGUAAGUUCCGACCUGCACGAAUGGCGUAAUGAUGGCCAGGCUGUCUCCACCCGAGACUCAGUGAAAUUGAACUCGCUGUGAAGAUGCAGUGUACCCGCGGCAAGACGGAAAGACCCCGUGAACCUUUACUAUAGCUUGACACUGAACAUUGAGCCUUGAUGUGUAGGAUAGGUGGGAGGCUUUGAAGUGUGGACGCCAGUCUGCAUGGAGCCGACCUUGAAAUACCACCCUUUAAUGUUUGAUGUUCUAACGUGGACCCGUUACCCGGGUUGCGGACAGUGUCUGGUGGGUAGUUUGACUGGGGCGGUCUCCUCCUAAAGAGUAACGGAGGAGCACGAAGGUUGGCUAAUCCUGGUCGGACAUCAGGAGGUUAGUGCAAUGGCAUAAGCCAGCUUGACUGCGAGCGUGACGGCGCGAGCAGGUGCGAAAGCAGGUCAUAGUGAUCCGGUGGUUCUGAAUGGAAGGGCCAUCGCUCAACGGAUAAAAGGUACUCCGGGGAUAACAGGCUGAUACCGCCCAAGAGUUCAUAUCGACGGCGGUGUUUGGCACCUCGAUGUCGGCUCAUCACAUCCUGGGGCUGAAGUAGGUCCCAAGGGUAUGGCUGUUCGCCAUUUAAAGUGGUACGCGAGCUGGGUUUAGAACGUCGUGAGACAGUUCGGUCCCUAUCUGCCGUGGGCGCUGGAGAACUGAGGGGGGCUGCUCCUAGUACGAGAGGACCGGAGUGGACGCAUCACUGGUGUUCGGGUUGUCAUGCCAAUGGCACUGCCCGGUAGCUAAAUGCGGAAGAGAUAAGUGCUGAAAGCAUCUAAGCACGAAACUUGCCCCGAGAUGAGUUCUCCCUGAGACUUAGAGUCUCCUGAAGGAACGUUGAAGACGACGACGUUGAUAGGCCGGGUGUGUAAGCGCAGCGAUGCGUUGAGCUAACCGGUACUAAUGAACCGUGAGGCUUAACCUUACAACGCCGAAG
rnacentral:rRNA from 1 species